GAGCAUUCCUGUACCCAGGGACUGCCAAUCCACAGGGCUGCAGGGUUCACCAAGCUGCAAGAGUCAGCAUGGAGGAGAAUGAGGAGAGCCCCCCUUGGACAAUGCUUCUUUAUAGAGAGUAUAAAAGUCGUGUGAGCCCUCAAGGAUAACAUUUGUAACGUGCACCCAAACCUCACUGCAAGUUACAGGGUGCUAUGUUAUGAGCAUUCUUGUGUCCCUUUAAACCUCUCAGGCUUUGUGUCUGUAUUAACAAACAAUUCAUUCACAUUUUGCUAUUUAGAGGAAAAGCUCAGAAUAGACUUGGUUAUUUGAUACUAAUUAUUUAGCAGGUAUAAAAGCAUAUUCAAGUCCCUAAUCUCCUUUCUGAGCAGGCAGGCAUGCUCAUGUUCAAAUAGUUGCAUAACUUGCCCAUCUCUAGUUGACAAACCCUCCUAACUUUGUUUUCAGAUCACAUGCAACCCCACCCCCGGCCAAGCUGUGUGCAUAGCUGGUCUGUAUUACAGCUUGCUGUUAAUCUCAUUCUCCUUUCACUGCUCUUCCUGCAGUUGGUUGCUUGUGUCUUGUAAGGUGUAUAAAGGACCAUCUGUUCAGGAAAGGGCUGCCCAACAUCUGUGCAGCUCAGAGCACCUUGGGUGGAUAUUGGUAAAACAAAUCUAUGAAAAAAUUCACAAUGACAAUUUGUACUGACUUGAGAUGUAAGAGAUUUGCUGGAUCUUGCUUCGCCUCUCUCCAUAGAAUCAUAGAAUGGAUUGUGUUGGAAGGGACCUUAAAGGCCAUCAAGCUCCAAACUCCUGCUGUGGGCAGGGCUGCCACUCACUAGAUCAGGCGCUAGACCAGGCUGCCAAGGCUCCCAUCCAGACUGACCUUGAACAUCUCUAGAGAUGGGGCAUCUACAACCUCUCCUGGCAGCUCAUUGCCCUCUGAGUAAAGAAUUUUUUGCUAACAUCUAACCUAAAUCUCCCCACUUUUAGUUUAAAACCAUUCACUGUUUUCCUAUCGUUAUCAGAUCAUGUAAAAAGUUGUUCCCCCUUCCUGCUGAUAAGCUCCCCUCAGAUUCUGAAAGGCCACAAUGAGGUCUUCCCUCAGCCUUCUCCAAGCUGAACAAACCCAGUUCUCUCAACCUAUCUCUAUAGGAGAGGUACUCCAGCCCCACAGUCAUCUUUGUGGCCCUCUUCAGAACCUGCUCCAACAGCUCCACAUCCUUCUCAUGUUAUGGGUCCCAGCCCUGGACACAGGACUCCCGAUGGGGCCUCACAAGGGCAGAGCAGAGAGGAACACUUCCCUCCCUCUCCCUGCUGCCAUCCUUUUGAUGCAGCCCAGGAUACAACCCUUUUGGCUUGCAAGUGCACACUACUGGUCUUUGUCCAGCUUUUCAUCCAUCAGUACACCCAUAUAUCUAGAUAUGUAUCUAUGUACAUGUAGGUUUGUGUUUGCUUGUGUAUUUAUCUGAACAGUUGGUGUAUGGUAUCAGAAGCACACAGGUCCUGCGGAUGGUGAAACGAGGGCAGUGCUGGUGUAAAGAAAUGUGAAGUGUUUCUAACUGGCCAAUCUUUCUCAACUGUUCACAUCUUCUGUUUAAAGAAAACUGACCAAAUCAGUAGAAUCACAGAGGAUUCAAAUAAAAGUAAAGCCAGGGCUGAGCCUGAUACUGGGAAUUUUGCUGAAUUAGGCAUAAAUUAGAUGUUAUCUCUCAGCCAGUUAAGAUGAUACCGAAAGCAGAUACUUCAAACUGUUUGCAGUGUGUGAGAGUUUCUAAUCUCCUUUCAUAUAAUUUAGAAUCCAACCCAGAGCCAGGGCUGUGGUUUCAAGGCACGGCUGGAACAGAUACCGGAUUUCUAUGGGUGCUGGGGAAGUCAAGGAAAUAAAGCAGUCUUCCAGCUCUGUGCAUUAUCGUUGCAAACAAUAGCCUGCUGGCACAAAACAAGUUUUAAUUGAUUGUUGCUAUUGAUUUUACAGGAAGCAAAGCAGAAGAAAUUCAACUUGAUUUUUGUAAGCUGAGGUGACCUGAAAAACACAAAGGAGAAAAAGAGAAUAGAAAGCCCUCCCACAUUUUGCCCAGUUCUGUGAGCUUACAGCUGAGCGCUCCAUAAAAACCCUGUCCAUUGAUUCCCUAUGUAUUUUGACCAUAUUGAUUUUCUCAUUAUAUAAUCUCCAUCUGAAAAUUUUAUUCAGAUUGUACGUUUUGCACUGUCACUGUGCAGAUCAGAGUCCCGUCUUGUUUCUUUCUCCUCUCCCUUUUGACCUCUCCAGUCUACAUGGGGUAAAAGCUGCACCUGGAAAUUUAUGUCCUACCUUUCUGCCGGUCUUCCCUUUCUGGAACGUUUUCUGUUCAGGAAGAGCCCAGGAUAUGGGAUUUGCCUCUACUCCUGCUGCUCUACCAGAGCCAGGCAGGGAGCAGAGGAGAUAGUCAUAGGCUGCCAGAUGUACUGAGACAGAUAAUUAGCCCAGGUGGGUAGGCUUGUGCUUGCUGAGGGGCCUCUGGCUGGAGCUGCUCAGGAAGGGAGGAGAUGGUCAACUUUGUGGGAUGCUGCUUAGAUUUAUUCUUUCCCCAAGCUCCCCUUGGGCAUGGAUUAGGAGGCUGAGUGGGUGAAGUUGGAGGAUUGUAGUGGUGAUGCUUUUGUAGAGAAACAGCAAUCAUCUCCACCAAAUGUAGGUGAAAACUUAAAAUCACAGAAGAGACUGAACAUAGUUAAAAAUGAGAGCUGCAGUGAGAUGUUUCUGGGCCAGCAAUUCUCCACUCCAUGAACCUUCUGCUUCCCUUCAACAGAGAUCGGCAGCAUCAGCAACCAGACACAAUUCAGAAUGGAAGGCUUUCAGGUAGCACCGGGGGAGGCUUUUUUUUCCCCUGUCUUAGCUGAUAUAUUCUCUGCUGACCUGUCAGAGAACCUCAGGAGUGCAGAUGUGUGCUUAUCUGAGCAAUAACACAGCCAGCUGCCUUCAAAGGGAAGGGUGGGUCAGCGCCUAUCUCAGCAAGGAGAAAGGGGUGGGGAAAAGGCACACUGACAAAUAUGGCCUAUUUUUUAAUGAUUGCCACUCAGUUCCUGUUAGAAAGGACAAAAGGGCUGAACGUGAUUCUCUGGGUAUUUUACUGUGGAAUUAAGCUGUUGACGGAUGAAGGUAGCAACAGCCAGCACCGCUAAUGCAACCACCUCCUCUUUCACCAGUAGUUCCCCCCUGUAAUGGUUGUGUACUCACAGUACGGCCUCUCGAACAACUUCUUCUGUCUGAAUCAUCACAAAUUUUCUUUGGGGCACGGCAGAUGAGAAAAAGGAGUUGGUGACUCAUGCCUAUAAGCUCUUGAGUUCCUUUGGAGUGGGAACUUUCCAUGCCGCUCCAGAAGACCUGGCAGUGGUUUUGUGAUAGCUUGUCCAAAUUUUUGACACACCGCUUGGGUCGGUCCUCGUUUGGCUUCCAGAAGCAGACCAUCAUAGUCUGGUGGAGUUCUGUCUCCCAGGGAGGAUACUGAUUUUCCCUAGAAGCCCAUCAGCUGCAGCAUCCGUACAGCUGCUAAAACCUGCCUUGAUCAUUCGUCAGCAUGACUGAUACAAUUCUGAAUGCUGCCUGGAUGUUGAAAAGAACAUAAUAUGUAGUAAAGGACAGGGAAGUCCUAUGUUUCCAAAGAGUCAUUUUGCAAUUGAACUCACACAAAUUUCAUUAAUGGAACAGAGCGUUAUCUUCAGUGAAACAAAAUGCUGUAUUUUAUGUCAAAUUCCAGUAUCUCACUGAUCUAACAUUUCUGCACAGAACUGUAGUAUCAUAGAAUCAUUAAGGUUGGAAAAAAACAUGAAGAUCAUCUAGUCAAACUGUCAACCCUUCACCACUAUGCCCACUGACCACGUCCCUGUUUCACUCAUGCAUGCAUUGAGAUUUGUACUUAAAAAAAUUACAGCCUAUCUCAGGGUUGGCGCCAAGUCUGCUGUGAGACAUGGUCAUAGGAGUAACAUAAGAAACAAAAGUGGUACAGAAUGGUACAUUUUGAUUAAAAUGCCAUCACGUAUAGCUAAGGUUUAAAAACAAAUCUCAGAGCUUCUGAGGUGUGUCGUCUGCCUGGUACCAACUUUAUUAUUGUCAUAAAAAGUAGUUCCUAGGAAACAAAAGAAGACAGAAAGUAGUGGCAGAUUACAAGCUGCAAAAGCAACAGUGAUUUUUUCUGAGGCAAAAAUAACAGGUGAGCUAUUCAUUUUGAAAAUUCCUUCAGAUUUCUUGCCAAAGGUAGGUUAUAUACGGUGACAGUGGCAUUUUGGUACCUUCCCACCGUGCCUGCUCAAGCCUCCCAUUCCUUGUAGCUAUGUGAUCCACAUGGAAAUCCACAUGGGCUUAGUUUUCCUGUACAUGAUGCGCUGUUACAACUUUCCCAUGUACACAGUGAAUUUGAAAAACUGUUGCUCUGAACAGGUGCCCCUAAAUCCCAAUUUUGCCCUUUCUUGCUCAGAUAUCACCAUCUACACGAGGCUGAGGGCAGCAGAAGAGCAGAUCUCUUGGCUUUAUCUGUCUUCUCCUACCCUGUAAAAUACAAACAGGGCAGGCUGUCUGCCCAGGGAUGCUGGAAGCACCGAACAGCAGUUGGGAGCAUGUCCCAGCAAGCUCCAGCUUGCUCACAGGUUGCUAAGUUACUUAAAUCCAUUGCAUAGAACAGAACCGUAUUGCCACAAAACAUCAGAACCUGACUUAGUUUUUAGUAACUCAUUAAAAUGACUCUACGAUUCUUUUGAUGUUCCGUACUAGUCUGGUCACAUUCCUUUCUGUUUUAUAGCACGGUAAUAACAACAUUCUUGUAAACAGUCAUAUAAACUCUAACCUUCAUAUUGCUCUCUUCAGAUCAUCUGAAAGCGUUUUCACAUUGAGAUUUGGCUUUCUUCCCCCCAUAAAGCAUAUCCCACCCUAAUAACCCAGGCCAUCAAGGGAGCAGGGGGAGAGAAUAAGGAUGCAAAAGUUGAUUAGUGGGUUACUUGUUUAGGGCAGUCAUACCAUCCUGUAGUAGCAGAAGUGUUUUGCAAACAUCACCUUUAUAAAUCCAUUAUUUAGAGCUUCCAGGGCUCCCAUUCCCUUCAGAAGUAACUCUCCUGUAGACACAGACUCCAGUUGUUUGGCAAUUAGCAGCCUAUAUUCUCUUCAUUGGUAACAACACACCGCCAUCCCUUACUUGAUCUACAGGGGAAAUAUAUGCCAGGUGCUUGAGCUAUCUGUUAUGUUGUUGGUAGUGAAGAAUUACAGAAGUAGAGUUGGCUUCAGAGGCAAAAAAAAUAUAGACACACUGGUUCAGCAAUGCUGUUGUUGCUCAGUGAUAGCACUGGGUAAAAGCAAGACAACUGGCUUUGGCUGCAGCAAUGUGCGCUGGAGGUGUGGCGGGAGGACAGGCAGCAGUUUCCUGAUGUCUCUGGUCAAAGGCUUGGCACUUAAGCAUUUACUCAAACAAAAGGGCCAAGGAUAAGGGACUGCACCCUUCGCAAACAACACGGCAUAUGGACAUGCACUCACAUGCAAAGAAUUUACAUCGGCUGAGCAGAUUUCCAGGCAGUCGGUUUAAGAUGAUGUAAACCCACAGAAAUGCAAGAUGAUUUGAACUGCGCCACAUCCAUGACAGUUGGUCGGCAGAGAUAUUAGCCAAUGAUGGUAGAAGAUACUUACGUGAAAAUGUUCGUAAGUAGGAAUGCUUAAAUAUAACUACAGUUAUUUCUUUGAGGACCAGAAAUAUAUUUAACAGGUUGCUUAAGCUAAUAUUUACAGAUGUAAGCUUCAGCAGUUAUCCCAGAGACAGGAAAAUACCUGAAAAUAGUAUCACCUUAUGCUAUUUGUUUGCUGAAUAAGUGGUUUGGUAAGAAAGAAAACUGCAAAAAUAGUAAUGGAUUUUUACCCAUUUUAAGUCUUACCAUGCUACAGUCAAUAUUAUAUAAUAUCAUGGUGAAAACUUUGUUAGCAAAUUGAAAGAGCUAAUUUUUCUAUAAACUAUGGAUAAAAAAAAGUUUUUAAGUAUCUCAAAAUUUUCAAGUUAACAAGAACAGAAUAUCAGCACUUAUCCUCUUUCCUCAUUAAAACCUGGCAUCUUUCAGGUCAGACAUUCUGAAGGUACCUGCAGAACUUCAUAUUAAACUACCUGUUCUUUCCCUCUAUGUGCUGAAAGUAUUUUGCUCCUUUAGAAUUUAUAAUUACCUUAGAUAAUGACUUCUUAGGACUCAGCGUCACAAUCAUAUUACUGUAAUCUAACAAAUGACCAUGAAUCAACUGAACAGAAAUAAUGGCUUAUGUAUGUAUUCUUAGUGAUUGGCAAAUGAGACAUUUCUGACACUAAAAGAGCAUUACCUAAGAUAGCGCAAGGGGCUUAGGAUCAUGAACAUAUGGGACAUUACAUAUUGUCUCGACUUUGCUGAUGUUAGGAAUCUUUUUAAACUGUAUUCUUUUGUGGAUUGGGACCUUUGCUUGCUUAUAGCCACAGAAUCAUGGAAUGGCCGAGGUUGGAAGAGGUAUCUGGAGUCAUCUGGCCCAUCCCUGCUCCAGCGGGACAACCCAGAGCAGGGUGCCCAGGCCCACAUCCAGGUGGCUUUUGGAGAUCUCCAAAGAGGAGACCCUCUCUGUGUCCCCGUGCCAGUGCUCUGUCUCCUGUAUAGCACUGAAGUGCCUCCUGAUGGACAGGGGGAACCUCCUGUGCCCCAGUUUGCACCCGUCACCUCUUGUCCUAGCACUGGGCACCACUGACAAGAGCUUGUUCGUGUCUCCUUUGCACCUUUCAGGGUGGUCUUAUAAGCCUUUAAAAUGUAGCUCCGAAAGGUAGGCUUUACAUAAGAGCUUCACCUAAUGUGAGAACUUUGUAAAAUCCUAAAUAAUGUCUCUGAAAUUAUGGGUAUCUGAUCUAUUUCUCUGCAGGGGAAAAAAUCUCCUAAUGACUCUGACCUUCUACUGACAGGUUUUUCUGUUGACUUGAACACUGCGGGAGUGGCUGCUUAAAGCUGGAAAUUCCCACCCAUUUUCCACUGUCUCUCCCAGGAGACCAGCAGAUGUUUGUUAUUAACUUUUAGCAGAUAGAUUUCUUGUUGAUAACUUAGUUUACCUUUUUAUUGCACAGAGGAAGCUGGGAAAUGCAUUGUUAUGAAGCACAACCUUUAAAAAUAUCUCCAUAUCCCAGAUUUUCUGUAAUAUUUCUGAAAAACAAUGUGUUUUCAAGGAACAGAGAUGAUUGGUUGAGUUUUCAAGCAUUUUAAAAUUUUGAAAUUAAAUGUAGCUUAGUAAUUAGUAUCUUGAUCAACCGAAUCUCAGUGUACCUGAAGAUCUCUUUUGUAUUAUCUGUAAGAUACACGGCAAUCUUCCUUGCAAAAUUAUUUGAAAUUUUUAUGAACAAAUUACAAAUCUACAAAUUAAAAUUUACUGGCUUGUCUUUUCCUGUAAUCAAAUCAGAAUGGUGUUGCCAAAAGAGACUUCUAUUUGCUUGAAACAGAUCUUGUGCAGAGCCUUUUCAGCAUCUCUGGUUCCAUUUGGGACUUUUUGGCAAUUUUUGGCAAUAUUCUUGGCAAUGGAUAUGUUUCUCAAUGAAAAAUUGAAUUUUGAAGCAAACAACUGAAAAUAUUUUCUCCUAAAAUCUUUCAUGAAAAGACACAUUAUCGAAUUGAAUGUUUUCUGUGUCCAUUAAUGGUCACAGUGAAUGACGCUGAUAAAGCAGGGAUCACAGGUUGCAUCUGUUCAUUUUGUGCGUGAUUCAAGUCAACUGCUUCAUCUCUUGCAUGUAAGGAAUCCUGAUGGCACUGAAGUUUCUUUGUGCUGUGGAAGCAUGCACUAUUAAUAGUAAUAAUUGCCUUUAGCUUUCUGACAGAGCAGUGUAUUUUCACUGUACCAAGAGAGAUGCCAUCAGCUUUCAGCAGUUUAAAUUAUAUUCAGGUUAACAGAGUCAAUGCUUUGUCCAAUUAAUGAAAUUACACUAAUGACAAAUAGCCAAAGAAGCAGCUGUAAUAUUUGAUGCCUAAUUGCUAUCCAAACCGCUUGUAAAGAACAAAUUACCGUGACUAUCCUAUUAAAAUAUAAAACUGCGUGCAUGAAGACACACAGCUAGGAGUGCUCAGUGCUAGGGAGGUUUAAGACAUGAUUGAUCUUCUCCUGCAUGUACACAAUUGUCAGUGUACGUGCAAACUGAACAUGAAUUUGAGCCCAUCUACAUCCAAGUGGUGCAUGUUCUCUGGCUAGACAAGGGGCAUAUCAAUGGUCAGUCGUGCAUAUCAGCAUAGCAGCAGUCACAUCUAACAUGUGAACUCAGUUUCUCAUCACUGUGUAGAAACAUCCUGUAGCCAAGAGGAAGAAGUGUCUCAGCAAAAACUUGGGGUGUGCUCCCUCAGAUGAGCCUUGUUUGUGCCAUACCUCAUGCUCCUGUUUUGAGUACAUCUUUUUAGGUUAAUGUCCGUGACUGUCAACUGAAGACUUGUCUGAGGUGUAACAGAAAUGGCCAAACUCUUCCCUUGGUUCCUAGGGUGUUGCAUCAUAAAUGUAAGUAAUAACAACCUGUGGCUAUCAUAAUUAAUAGGCCUACUUCUACGCUUCGAACUGAGAAGGCUCUACUGGCGCAAGGAACUCCAUGCUGCUCACUAGCCGGGGAAAACCUUCAUCAAGAAACUCAUAAAUAAAUCAAUCUAUUUCCCCAGAUUACUCACCCCAAGAUAGCUCUCUGUCUUCUGAAACCUGUGAGAAAGCAAAUUGCUGAAAUGCAAGUGUUUGUGGAGAUAUGGGAUCGUUUAACACUGGUUACCACCUCGGGCACUCUGGAAAGUCUCUGUUACACAAGGUUCAUUGCAGAGAUCUGAAUAUGUGCUAAACGAGCCCUGCAUCUCUGCCUUGUAGCUCUGAGAAUGCUAGGCAAGUAAUUAAGAAAUCACACGGCACAGGUGUGCCAGGUGAAUUUUGGUAGCUUGCUUUUGAUCUAAAUUGAGAUGCUCUGGGGAUUUAACUUCUUAAACAAAAAGGGCAUAAAUAAAUAAUCAGGAUUUUUUUUUUUAAGGUUGGAACAUGCAGGCUAUAAAAUUUUAUACAAGUAGGCAAUGCGAGCAGAUUGUUUAAGGCUAGGGCAUUGUUUUAAAUGGGGGUGUUGUUUUCAUUAACUUCGGUCUGAUUAGUUUUUUCACUGGGACUUUCCCCACUGAUAUAAACAGGAACAAUAUUUGGUUGUUGGGAACUAACUCCGGAAUAAGUUAAGAGAGUGUCUUUAAAAAUAGACCUUAAAAAACCAACAAGCCACACCAAAAGUUGGAAUAUUAAUUAUCAUGCAGGAAUUACUGAGUACUUCUUUUUAAUAUUCAUAAUUGAAAAUGAGACAGCUUUAAAGAUUGUAAUGAGCGCUUCAGAGUAUCGCUCUCUACUUAGAGCAUUACUUCAUAGCUGGAAGCCAAGAAACAGACUGACAGUCAAUUCUUAAAUUAUUCCAAGCCCACACAAUAGGCUCUUGCCACAAAUUCUCGGCAUGGGGCCUAUUUUGCUACCAUGUGGGUGUGGUGAGAUUGGGAUAAACAAGAACACAACUGCCCACUUUUGAGUUUUCAUCUUCCCUUAGGUUCAGUCUUACACAGAUACUUUCAGUUAGUUUGAAAUGUUUCAGUCCUUAUCUUUUCUUCCCCAACUGCCUGAUAAACCUGAGAUCAAAACUCUUGUGAAAAGAGUUCCCGAGUUAGAAAAAAAUGUGCCAGAAAAUAGAAGUAUUGCUCUGAAAGUUCUAGCCUGUUCUAUAGUCUUCUGAAGUACGAAAGCUUUCAUAUACUUUCUCCAAACAAAAUGGGUGGCUAUCUCUGAUCUAUCAGAAUGCCCUUAAAUUACUUCUUUUGAUACCUUGGGGAAGAAAGAUAGCAGAGGUGAUGUCAUAGGGCUCCUUCCAGCCUUGCUUGUGUGAUGUCGGCUCCUCACUUCAGAAACUUAAAUGUAAGGGAGGACACACACAGGGUAGAUCUCUGGAAGGGUGCUGUUACAAAGCUCUCAAUACUACAGAUGUGUUAUAGUCAGUUUGCAAAUACUAAUUUAUUCCUGUUUUUAAGAAAAAACAGGAGACCAAUUUUCACUAUGGGUUGAAACCUCUCUUCAAUGAGACUUUGGUAUUGUGUGUGAUUUACUGUUUGAAGUUCAGUACUGUGGGAAAGUUGUGAUUGUAGGGUACCAGUGUAGUGUAUGACUAAGAGAAAUAGGAAUGGUGGAAAUAGGAAUUGAUGGAGGAGUUGGUCCGUAACUCUGAAAUCCAGAGCUGAGUACAACUUGUGAUUUUGCAAAGGUUGAAUUCUGACUUGCAUCAGAUAUAGAGAAAGACUGAAGUAACAAAGAAGUGCUUCAGAACAGUUUUUCCUUCUAUUCCAAGUACUGGACAGCUGCUUUAGCACAUCUCCAGCAGGAGUAAAAUGUGCUGUUACGUUCUUUUCUAUGUAGAGCCCUGAGGGGAAAAUCGAUGCCCCUCAAAUAGGAUCUUAUCGCUGGUUGUUGUUUUCUGCUAAAAUGUCCUCUGCACUCUGUUUAAAAGAACAAGGCUGUUCUGUCACUUCUACUCUUAGGAGACCUGGAGUGUUAAUAGGGUUUUUUCCAUCUCAUUUAUUCCAUCACUGCCUCCUGUUCUCAGUCUAAAUCUUGAGACUAAGAAUCAAAUAUUUUCACUGAAAAGCACUGAACUUUAGGAUUUUUUUUCCCCUUGAUAUUCCAUAGAGAGGAACACUAUCAGCUGUAGUGAAGGGAAAUUCUGCCCCUUGGUGUGACCUUUUACUCCAGUGAUUGGUGUACAGAAUUUGCCUUUCUUUCUUUUUCACUGCUCACCAAUAUUUCCCACAUCUCUUUCCCUCCAAUUAAAAUAUGAGUAAAUUAAAACGAAAGUGGGGAUUAUUUUCAGCUAAACACUUCUAGUCUGGAUUUUUCUCCAGAUAGCGUUUUCCCCCCAGGAGCUGUUGGAUUUCUCAUGAGAACAAAGAUAUUCUGGUAUUUUGACUUUGAGGAGAUCUGAAAUAUUAAUGAUAACAUGGGAGUAAUGAGGAAAUCUGGACUGUGAAUAAACUCAGCCUGUGCUUCACUGAGGUCCCAGGUAUCAGCCCCUCCCAUAUUGUUGGAGGGAAAGGUGUGCUCCCUGCAUUGCUUCUGCUCUCACAGGGAAUAAGUAGACCACACUGAACUACGAAGACAAAAUUCUGUCACUCCAGAGUUCAAGGACUGCUUUCUUUUAAGCACACUUCAAUAAGAAUGUCUUCUCAUGUCACAAUGAAAAUAAGAGAAUUUGGUGAAAGCACUUGGAUGACCUCUGUGAAAUGAAUUGGGUAUGGGACGUGUUGCCUCCUCUUCACAAGAGGUCUCAUGGUUGAGCAUCUUCUCCUCACUGAAAAGGUUAAAGCAGCCAUUCAAAUGUGCUCAUGUGUAUUGCAACUGUCCCCACUAUAAAAGUAGGCAACCAGAGAGUUUAGCCUUGCAGCCCCAUUCAGGGAGAAAUGUAAGGACAGACAAAGCCUGUUCCAUAGGUAGCUCACACAGAUUUCCAAAUGCAGUUAAUUAGGGCCAUGGAUGAUAGGCUCCCAGAAAUGAAACAAUCAAUGUCAAUGUCUACUUUCAACAUGCAGCUCAAGCAUCAUGUUGGAUCAUAUUCGUACUAAGAUCCUUCACCUUGUCAUGUUGGUCUAUUACUGCAGUGGCAACAUAUUAAUUACUAGGGAAAUUAAUUUUCUUGUCCUGCUUCAACAAUGAGGACCCUGUGGACUCUCCUUGGUUUCCAGACUUGUUAUCUCUUACAAGAGUGAUAUACUCAGCAUUUGAAGUUAAUUCUCCCAUUUUAAAGGUAAGAAAUUGAAACUCAGAUAUGUUAUACAAGUUCACACUUCCAUCAUAGCAUUAAUUCAAGACGCUAUUUCCCCCAAACAAAGUGCUAUUUCAACAAUUGCAUAUGCUGCAUUUAGUUUAGCACUUGUUUAUGAGUCAUAGUUAUAAGCAUAUGUAAUAAAGAGCCUGACUCUAGGAUCUAUGGCUACUCAACAUUUGCAGGCAUAUCUGAAUGUUACAGAGAUAGCAAGCAUGAUUAUAAAAAUAUUUGUGCAGUAUGAAAUAUUAAUGAACACCAUUUAAUUGUUUAAAAAAUGCAAAAAAAUUAAUCAUUUGAUAUUUUCACGAGUAUCUGUUUUUACUUUUGAGUAGGCUCUAUCACAAGAGGGCUCCUUUUGUUUAUUACAUAGGCAAAUUUGCUACUUGGUAAAAUAAUAACCAAAUAAACAAAAAUACAAAACAAAGAAGCCAACAGGUAUGGUGCUGACUUAUAGCCAGAUCUGCCCCAGGUAUUUUCUUCUGUUUUGAAAAUGAAAGCUUAAUCUAAUUAGAUCUUGGAGGAAAAUAGUUGUGAUAUGUUUUCUGUAGGUAAAAGGACAUGCUUAAUGUACUUUAUUUAUGUUACUGAUUUUACAGUAAGUAAUAAAAUUUAUUUAUUAAUAAAAUGCAUAGAAUCUGUUUGAAAAUGGCUUUUUAAUGAAGUAUAAGCUUUAUUAGACAUAGGUUAAUAAAACACAGCAUUACAAUAAUACAGAUUUUGUCAAUAUGUGAAACAUGGGAGCAUAAAUUGACCUCAGUCCUGCUGCAUAUGGCUAUUGAUUUUGGUUACAAACCAGGAACUAUGUCUUGUGUUUAUUUGUUUCUACACUGUAUCUGAAAAGAUUUUCCUCCUCCCUCCAUCAAAACACUUCCAUAUUUUACCACUUUCCGGUGGAAAUGACAGCAGUAAAGAUUUGCAAACCACGUGAGAAAGGACACAAUUUCUUGAUCAUUAAUAUAUUAAAUAGGGACUGAAAGGCUCACCAUGCUUGUUUGGACAUCCCAACAUUGCUGAGAUUUCCAUAUGAUUUCACAAAUGGACUGAAAGAAGAUGGACAAGCGCUGGGAGAGGGCCAGUUGUUAUGUGCCAUUUGAUUCCAUUAUUUCCUUGCCAGUCAACCAAAACCUUUGUACAGAUAGUGAAAAGGGGAAUAUUGCACUAUAGUCUCUUUGGAUACUGCAUAACAUGAAAGAGGAUGAGCUCCUCCAAGCCUCCGACACCAAGAGCUGCGGGAACAUUCUUUGUGAUUUGUUUGCUGAGGAGAGUCUUACAUAGAUCAUAGCAUCAGCACAUGCCAUCCCCUGGAACCAAAGCGUUGUUUUAGAUGACUUCUAGACAUACCUGUGAGUACUUCUGAACAUUUCAGAGUGUAAAUGAUUCUGUUAGUGCACUGUUUAUUGGCUACCUCUUGUAACUCUUACAUAACCCAUAAUAAAGUAGUGGGCUAGGCUGUCUAGUGAAACAAUACAAAGUGACAAUUAGCAUCAUCAUCAUCCUGCAGCAGAACACUCUUACCUAAUAUGACAGGUCUGAAAAGAAUUAAGCAGCUCUUUCCAUCAAGGGUUUGUGAAUGUAGUAAGGAGUUUUCUGCAGCUGUUAAGUGGUGUGCUAUAUCUUAUAGAGAACUAUUGUAUAUAUAUAUAUAUAUAUAUAAUGUCAGCCGCUGGGCGUUAGUUAGAUUAAUGUCCUCUCCUUAACAUGAACGCAUGGAAGGUAGACCAUGUGAUUAUGCAGGUAUGGUAAUUAUCCUUCAAAGAGUUGGAAGGCUUUGACGUAACCUCUGUGUCCCAAAUUUGUUCGUUCCAGUACUCGCUACAGGGAAGAAUAAGGACUUGAAUCUGCAAGCCUUUCCCAUGUGACAAUCUGGUAUUGCGCCUUAUAGAAUCUGGCAAAACUGUAAAUGACAGGAACCUUUUUAAGAACUAAAUGACUUAGCAGAGACUUUUUUUUCCCCUGAUAAAUAAAUUCUCUGAUAUGCUGUUCAAACAUGCAGGGACAUGCAUGAACCGCUGUAAGUACUCCAAUUUAUAACUGCUUUGCAACAGGCCACAACAAGCUAGAAUCAUCUUUUAAGUAUUUAAUUUUUCUGUUUUGUUUUGUUUUUUUUUUUGUACAUCUUUACAGCAUGUUAGAAUGCACCUUGUAAUAAAGCAAUUUCUCCACAGUAUAUUAGUAAUCAGUAAUUAUUCUUCAGAGUUCUGUCUGCAGUGCAGUGCCUCUUGACUGGAAAUGUGAAGGCUGAAUUGGUUGCCUCACAGCUUGGCUGUGAGAGUAUCCAUUCCACUACUCACAAAGACAAGAGACAUCCAGCAUACAGUAACCCUUCAAUUAUUUCAGUUAUUUUGAUCUGGCUAGGUGUUCAGUCCAUAUUAACUAUACAGUCAACAUUUCAACUUAUAUCAAGUUUUCACUGUUUUUGGUUGCAGUAGAUAUUCUUGUCAAGAAGGGAGUCAUUUGAAUCAUUAGAAAUGAGUAGAAACACAGGCUUUUUAGUCUAGACCCGAUACUCGUGGUGGAAGACUAGUUCUUGGCUGGUUAGUUCAUGCCUAGGUCCUUUAGGGCAGGAUUAUCACAUGAAUUUGGAUAUAAAGGUAUUCAAACACUUUCCUAUAAAGGAUUUUUCUGAGGAUACUACUCAUAGUGGGAGCCUCAACCCACUGCUUUCCAUGCCCAGGAGCCUUGUUUCAGUCCUGCCUGGUGCUGGUUGUCUUGCUUUGGCAAUGUUGCAGGAGAACUGCUCUACAGCAGUGUCUCUGGGCCCACCUCCUUCUGCUCAUGGCAGGUUGAUGGCUUGCUGUGUUGGGGGCUGCCAGAGGAUGAUGUUAUCAGCCCUGGCUCUACCACUGCCUCAGCCCCAGUGGAACUGUACCACCAAGGAAGGCCUGGCUCAACAGUCUCAGUGGGUCACAAGCACCUAAAUUUUAUUAUAUUGUCUUUGAACUAUCUCUAUUUCUAGGAAGAAUAACAAGAGCAGUGCUGAGAUAGAACCACUGAUGUUAGAUUUGUUGGUAGGGACAAAAAGUUUUUUUUUCCCCUCUGUCUAUGCCUGUGUAUAUUUGUAGAUCUAGCUUGUACUUCUUGUCACUCUGAGGCUCAUCAGAUUUUUUCAUGCAAUUCAAGUGGAGCUUUGCCAAGAAAAAUUGUUAAUUUUAGAUUCUAAUUUUCAAUAAGAACAGGUAAGGCAGGACACCUAUGAAUCAGUUGAUAUGGAUAUUUACCCAAUAAGGAUAUACUAUUUAACAUGAGGUCAUACCAAACCCAGACACAACUUCUUUUUUCCUGUUCAGAUAUUCUUCCCAGCUGCCAGCAGACAAAGUCUCAUCCCUUUGUACACUGGAGGUACUGUGAACUAGUGCGAGUGUCAAACUGCAUUGUAUACAUUCAAAGAGAAAAAUGUUACAUUUUCAAGAUCAAUGGAGAUCAUCUACUUUCAUGAUGCAUUGCUCUCACUAACAGUGAUGUACGGGAAGCACCUGAGAGUCAAUCUGGAAACUUCGUUGGCCAGGACACAACAAUAUCUCUUGGUUGUUGCUGCAUGGUCUGGCAGCUGUUACUGCUAAUCUGGUUAUCAGGGCCUGCAGGUGUAUCUGUAUUUACACAACUGGCUUCUAAGGACCUACAUUUAUCAAGUCAUGAUUUAUACUCUACAGAUUGCUUUUUUUUCUUGCAUUCUUUUUAUUGAACAGUGAGGACAAGACAGGAUAAGGAAAGCUUGGCUUUAUUUUCAUGUAGGCUCAAGACUUAUUAAAUUCUCCUGCAUCAGUUUGCUUUCCUACAAGUGUCCCUGUCUUUGCUGAAAUGAGUUGCCAUGGAGAGCUGGCAGCAGCAUGGUUUAGGUACUGCACACAUCUGUAUAAUCCACCUGAGCACACUGGGUGCAUGCCAUGUAUUACUGCUGGAUGUGGACAGAGAGGAUUUCUUAUUUGGGUGCAACAGCCUAUGAAUACAGAUCUGGCUUCAUGACCUGGCAUGGUGUCUCCUCCUGGCGCUGCACUGAGCUGGGAGCUGGGGAUCUCUGCUAACAGAACAGACAUGCCCACUUUAGUACGUGCAGGUUGCAUCCAGAUGGGUGAACUUUCUGGCUUUCAUUUGAUGCUUUUCUCCCCUAGAUCAUAGGGAAGGUGGGUCUGGCAGACAGUGCCCUGAGCAGUGGUUUAUUUGAAGAGUCUCCAGGGUAUACAAACGAAUACUCACCUCCUCUUGGGAUAAGAAAUGAAGUUACUGCAUGUAAGUACAAAUGCCCAUAAGUUUUCAGUGGGAAGGUGACUCUGAAGAAUGUAGUUUGGGUUUAUCAGGCUUAAUUCUGUAUCUGUCAACUCCAUUAAUAACGGGCUCUUUCUUCUCUUUCCUCUGAAGGCAUCUUGCUUAAACUGUAAGGUCAGGAGUGUCAUUCUGGUGCUGUGCCAUUAAACUCCCUGCCAACACUUCCACUGGCUUUAUUAGGUACCUCCCACUCCACAAAUCACUUCAUCUGGAUUUCCAGGAGAAAUAGUGCUUCUUGGAAUGACUGAGUUAUUCUAUGAAGUCGUGAUAUUUGUCAUGUGAAAUAAUUGUCCAGAGAUAUUGUCUUUUUAUUGGAUUUUUUUUCUAAGAUUAGUUUUUGUUCUUGAUGAUAACCUCGGUUGCCCUGUGAUAUGACCAAAGGUUUCUUGGCAGCUAGGUGUCUUUCAUAUUACUGUAAGUCACCUAUAAAUGUUUUGAUGGGAGUGCAUAUUCAUGAUCAUGAUGAAUGAAACUGAAAUUUUAGUUCUCUGUUGGCCUCCAAAUGUUCUUCUUUCUCUGUCCCUUCUUGGACCUGUCGUUAUGGCUUUUGCUGUUGGCAACCAAGUAGAAUGAUAAUGGGGAGUCUUCCAAAUAUAAAUGUUCAUAAAAAUGAGGCAACAGUAGCCAAGUACCACCAAGAAGAAAAAAAAACACUGAGUGCUAGAAUCCACCCAAAUUCAUGACUGCUAUUCUUUUUUUAUUCAUUUUGUUUAAAUCAGAAAUUCUGUCAUUAAUACUUCACUUCCAUUAUCUUCCAGUUUAUACACAGCUGUGCUUUAUAAAUGUAGAGGGAAGUACUGAUUAUUUCUGAGAUGGAACAAAACCUUUGAGAUUAUCUGCUUGUAGUUUCUGAUGAAGAUCCCAGGGCCGGCCCACUGCAGCUUUCAGAACAACUUUGUAGCUGCUUGGUGAAAUGGGGGAAAUGUACCCUUCUGGGUCUCUGUCAAAAGGGCAGCUACCUGGAAACUGAAGGUCAUGGAGCAGAAUUCUUUGCAUUGGAAGGGAUCACUCACCUAGCUGGAGCUUGGGAAUGUCUGAAGACCACGAAGAGAUGACCUGGAAGGCCUAGUGAGAAUAGAAGGGACUGCAGCCUUUGGGAAACAGUAAGUGUGGGAUUUCUUAUCAUGAAGCAGUCUCAACAGAUGACAAAGUUGAUACUAGGUUUUGCAAACCUCUGCUGAUUCCUGUUUAUGUGUGCACAGCACAUACUCUCAAUUGUUGCAAAACAAUUUUUGCACUGGAUUAUAAUCCACAUUGGAAAGACAAAUGGGGACUGAUCAUUGCAUUCACAAAUAUAUGCGUAUAGACUGCUGGAGAGACUGUUGCUCCCUAGCACCAGAGAAAGGCCUGUAGAAAAACAUAAAUCAUGUACCAACAAAUGUAGAGAAAGGGGGAGAAAAACGCAUGUAAUAUUUUAUUGUAGUACUGAGCCACAUUUCCGCAGCAGAGUUCCUUCUUUCAGCUUAAACGGGCCAUUACUAUAUUACAGUGCAAACUCUAGAGAUUUUCAAGGGAAAAUAAAGGGGCAUUGUCAUCGUAUUGUCCUUCACUAACAAAAGUUACCUCCACUGUUUAAAUAAUAUCCUUGGUCUUUGGCUCCAUGCAUUAUUUAAUAAUCUUAGAAACUUCUGUGACCUUUAAGCAAUAGUAAACUGUGAUUGCUUGACAAACAGGUCAAUGUUUGCAUAAUAGUUGUGUCUUUGGAGGUACAAAAAUAUUCAUCAGAAUGCCUUGACUGGCUUCCCUCACCCUUCAUUUCUUUGGCAGUUCUCCAGCAGUAUUGCCCUCUGUUAAACAUUAUUCCACUUCAAGGGUAUUUGCAGGACUAGGAAGCAGGCAGUGUGUUAUAGCACUUGAAAAUGCAGGGUGGGGGAGGUUGUAUGUCUCUGAGGCAUGCUUACCAAUGCACACGCAUAUAUGCCAUGAGUAGCUGUUACCUUUGGUAGAAAGUAUGUGUUGAAAAAAGUCAGUAAAAUGAUGGGGUAGAUACGUUAGAUUUAUUCCUGGUUAUCAUGCACUUUGUUUUAGAAGGAUGACAAACUGGUAUUUUCUGUUUGAAGGGCAUACUUGAAAGCAAGGAACUGGGUUUGAACUUCUGGUUUUAUUGUUAGCAGUGUUGGUUGCAGGGCCAGUUAAGCAAACAUGUGGGCUCCUGCAUGCUCCUUAGCAAUACUUAAAGGGAAAGUUGUAUUGACACAUUCUCUAUUACUUAAGUUUGAAUUAGAGGGAUCAUAAAAGUUAGAAGUGGUCUCAGAGAAGAAUAUUGAAGAAUGCAGUAACUUAGUUCCGUGGCAUUUUAUAUGAAAGCGUGUGUAGUUUCACCGUCAACUGCUUGAUGUUAAAUGCCUCUAUGGUAUCUAUUUCCCACUGGAAGGUAACCGUGCCCUCUGCAUAGCCAUAUGAGAACAGAGUAAUACCAAUUUCACUUAAGUAAACGUUUUUUUUUUUUCCACUGCAAUGCAGUACGCAUACACAAGUGUAAAUGCAAACAUAUCUGUAGUCAGUAUAUGUAUCGGUUUGUAUCCUCAGUUGCAGCUAAUACUGUACUCCAAAUACUAUGAUCAUCAGACGAACAGAAAGGAUAAGAAGAUCAUUUUGAGAAGUUUUCAAGGAGACAACUAGAAAAUGUUGAUUUCAAAGUUAUAGUGUAAUUCGAGUCAAUGUAUGAUGGAGCAAUGUGGAAAUUAUCCCAGCUUGACGAGGUGAGUGAUUGCAUAGAAACCUGGCAUAUUUCCACUGAGGCAUCUUUAUCUGUUGUCUUUUUUUUCCAAAGAGGGAAGAUCUCAAUCCUGUCAACUUGAAGUCUGGCAGACGGAACUGCUGGCAUUUCAAUGACAUCUUCCAGUUGGAUCUCAAGGAUGAAUUCUUGCGUUCUGCUUGGCUUGUGCCAUUGGCAGUGCCCUACCUGGGACACACUCUUAAGUAGUUCUCACUCUGUGACUCUCUGUUAAUUGAUCUGAAAUCCUGUAUCAAAAAUACUACUAGGUCGCAGUAGAUAUGAUAACUCCUAACUAUUUUGUUCAAUAUAUAGAUGCUUCAAAAAAGAUACCUGGCUGGGAGGUGUUGGCUGUUUAAACAUUUCUGAUGUUAAAACCGUGAAAAGGAACUAUACUUUUUUUUUUUUUUGAAUUGAAAUAUGAUCACCUUUAUUAAAUUAACCUUUAUUUAAUUUUUAAUUUUUGGAAAUAACGUUUUCUCAAUCUUUUUUUCUGCUUUGCAGAUGCAAGACCUUACAAGUAACUCUACAAAAAUUAGAAUUAUUGGACGAGAAAAGCACCUCAAUGAUACAUUGCACUUCAGUGGCUUCAAGGGUCCCUGGAUGAAGCCAUUUAGCACUUGGUAUGUUUUGGAAACUUAGGUAUGGAGCAUUCCUGAAAGAGUCUGAACUCAGACGCCAGACAGGUCCCUCAUGUUUCCAGCUUCUCUGAGUCUACAUAGUUUGGCAAUAAAUGGGGAACUGAGAGUGGCUCUGAUAACAGAACAAGUUCAGAAACUUAACGCUCUCUCAGACCCGAAACCAUGACAACUGACAUUGCUGACAUCCUUUUCACAAGUCCUAUUGCACUCUGUUAUCUUCAGCUUCUAACUCUGCUUUGAGAGAAACGUCUUUAUUUGAGGAGCUUAAAACAGCCUCAGGUCUUCAGGACUGUGGCCCUGUUUUCCAACGAGGAUGUGGGAGCUGUAAGGGCCAGUGAGAGACUUACUGCUAAUGGACACAUUACCUUUACAAUCCUGGAGUAUAUUGUUAUUCAGAUAACAGGAAAUACUCAUCAAUACUGCUUAAGGUCUGAAAAAGUAAAAAGGACAACCUAGCUGAUGUAACUACUCAAUUACAGUUAAGAUUUAGAUACAUUAACACAGGAAACAUUAAUUAAUGUAACUUCACUGACAGUGACUUCAAGCUUUAACAGUGACUUCUAGCUGCUAAUGUUAUAGUUUUACAAGAUGUUAAUGCAAUUCUAAACAUUUUUUGAAGAAUAAGGCAGCUUGAGAGGAAGGGUGUAAAAUCUUUGAUUCUCUUCACCUUAAUAUUUAAAGAAUAAAACCAUUCUGGAAUAACAUCUUCAGAAGAGAACCCUCAAAUAUACAGACAAUCUUAUAAAACACAGAGUUUAUGGUAAAAAAUUAUGGAAAUAUAGAAAAUCAAGUCUGACAGGGAAAACAUGUUUGUGAACAGUUGGAACUAUUCUCCUGAGUGUCACUUUUAAUGAUAAUUCAUAGUCAUUGAGGCCAUUAAGAUUGGAAAAGACCUCCAAGAUCAAGCACAACCAUCCACCUACCACCAAUAUUUCCCCACUAAACCAUGUUCCUCAGUACAACAUCUAAACAUUUCUUGAACACCUCCACGGACAGUGACUCCACCACCACCCUGGGCAGCCCAUUCCAGUGCCUGAUCACUCUUUCAGAGAAGAAAUUUUCCCUAAUAUCCAACGUGAAUCUCCCCUGGCGCAACUCCAGUUCUCUCCCCAAUCCCACUUGGAAGAGGAACAGUGAAUGAAUGACUGUGUGGUGCUUUGCCACUUGCUGGGUUAAACCAUAACAGUAAGGCAAUCUUUUAAUUCAAUAUAUGCAACACUUAGUGCAGUAAGAUCUUGUUUAAUGGAUCUUUGGCAUUAUGUUACCAUCAUUUUUCUUACUGAAAUUUAACUUGAUCAAAUUCAUAGUGAAGUGGAAUGAAAUCUUCCCAGUUCACAAAACAUUACAGCAGUUAGAACCACUGCAGUUCUCAUCUGUUACAUUCUAGCCUUAUACCAGUGUAUUAGUGUAAAGGUAUAUUUCACUAUAAGAUGAACCUCAAGAGGGCCUAAACUGCAUUUUUAUCAAAUAAUUUUGAAACAAUUGGAGGAUUGCUGGAAGAGUUCUUAAGUUAGAGGAUGUUCUAUCCUCUCUUGCAGGCAGGUCAAGUCAUAGCACAUCCUGAAGCUGGUUCUGCUCUGACAGCAUGCCUGCACGCCAUGCAAUGGCCUUGGUGGAGAAACAGUGCUGUGUCAGAAGGAGCUGUUGAUUCAUCAUGAUUAAAAAAUGAUCUUCAGAAUUCUUGGAAAAUGGAUGAAAUAUCCAUUAUAGAUUUUAUGAGUACUGUCUUUAACAUGAAAGCUUUUUAAAUUGACCAUGAUUCAUACUAAUAAAUGAAUAUACUUUAAAAAAAAUAGAAUCUAGAAUACAGGACUGCAGAGAACAACUCAAAACCUACAGUGACUUUUUGAGUUACUCUGUGGUGAAGAAGUAAGUAGAGAAAGACAAGUUGAUGAAUUAGGCCAAAUACUUUGCACCUUUAACAUCUACUGAAAUGGAUGGGGGCUGAAGAUUCAUACAGCAUCUUGCACAUCAAGGCUUUGUUACCACUAUUAGGUCCUUUCCCAUUAUGAAAACUACCUACGAGACCAUCCUUGAUGUCUGAUGUGCCUUGAUGGGCAGAACUGGAAGAGGGACAGAACUGUGCUUCUGACUCCUGUUUACUCCAUACUGCAUGAUUGUUACGUUCAUGAACCUGGUUUGGCAAUCACUGUAAAGGAGGAAAUAGUAAUCAUGUAAUUUCUUCAUAUACUGGAAAAAAAUACAAGAAAUAAGGCUGAGCUGUUUUUAAACAACCAAAGAACUAUUUGGAAAAUAAUUACAAAGCAAUAAAUGGGCAUACGUGAGGCAUAUAUAUCAAGACAGUGAAAGACAGGAAGUAGGAAAUGACAUUUUUCCUGGCCUAAUGUAUGAUAAUAAUCACAAGAAAUUGCAAUUUAGAGAAAACACAUUUCUUUUUGCUCCUAUCUGUAUUUUGGUAAAUUACUGUUCUCUGUUGUGACAGAAAAUUAAUUGCUACUGUGUCUGUUGAUUGCUUCUUAAUGACAUUGUAAUACACAGCUUUUUGGUUCAAUGUUAUUCUCAAUUCAAAUAUCUUUGUAAAUAUCAUAUACGGACUAUCUUGUAAGUAUGAUAUGAUUCAAGUUAUGCUUGUAAAACCUCCACUUAAAAUGAAUCUCCAUGUGACAGGUAAUUGGCUGCGGGCCUUUUUUUUGUUAUUGAUUUAACUUAAUGCCAAUGUACACAGGUGUGUUGGCGGGUUGUUCAAGCUUCCAAGGCACCCACAUUUGGCAGGACAAUUAAUUGUUGCAUAAUAAGAUUAUUUUCCCCCUUCAGUCCUGAAUCUUUUCAAAAGUUGUAUUUUAAACCUUUGUAGGUAUGUAUGUGGGUGAGAGAAAAAUACCCAACAAUGUUACCAUGAGGCAUGUUUCGAUUUAUUGUUUGAGGUGCUCAAGGAAACAGCAACAUAUAGAUAAGAUAUCUGCAAAUAUAUAUUUGCCAACUGAAGUGGAAAAAAAGAACAAAAAGCUUUAUAUAAUCAGGCUUUUACAUGCUAUAUAAAAUUCUAUAUUGCUAUCAGACAAAAUUGCUUAUUUUAGACAGAAAUACUACACUGAAAAUAUUAGCUGUCCGGUCUGCUUUACAUGUAGAUAGGAGAUACAAUUUGCCCUUGGACACAGAAAUAUCUGCAUCACAGACGCCCAGCGAAGGACUCAUUUGAAUACUUUGAGCAAAAUCCUGGCUCUGUUGAAGUUGAUGGGAAUUUUGCCAUUAACUUUGGUUGGACUUCAGUUUGCUUCUCCAGUGUGUAGUAAGGUAUGCAUCCCUGAGGAGUACACAGGGUAAUCUGGAGAAAGUGAACAACGCCACAGGAGUAACAGCUGGCCCAAAUUCUAGGGAGAGCAGUGACCUUAGAGGAAAAGAAGAGGCAGCACUGCUGUGGGAAUGCAUUGUAUGGAGAGGUGGGAGGAGAUUUCAUGAAAGGAUGUACAAGAUUGUUCCAAGCAUAGCAGGUAGCAUGACUGAACGUGUAAAAUCAAGAGCUGAAGAAAACACUUCUACUUUCACAAGCCCUAAGAAAUGAAUGAAGAAUGAAAAGUGUUGUGUCCAAACUUUGGAAGAGCUGGUUCUGUGAAAAGCUGUGUGAUGGCUCUUCUUUUACCCAGGUGUUUAUCUUGGGCUUGGUUCAAAAGCAAGGAUUUGUUUUGCCUUCCAGAUUUAUCCACUAAAUUGUGUUUCAUGGGGUCAUGCAAUCAGCUGUCCUCUCAUAAGAAAAAGGCCACAGCUGAGGAAACCAGGCCAGUUCAGGACUGCAGAGCCUUUGCCUGAGUGACUCUGAGAAGCUGCAUUGCACCUGAGUGGAAAAUCACUCUCCCAGGCCAAGGGAUGAUUUUUUAUCCUGGUGCUUUGUUUUCUAAAAAACUAUCCUGUCAAGCUGUGACUUAGGUUAAAAGUCAUUGGCACCACAGACAAGAAGUUGUCUGCUUCCAUAUAGAAGAGCAGAUGAUACACAUUCUGUAAAAAUCCAUAUAAAAUAUUUAUCAAAAUCUCAUUGCCCUGGAUGCCUACCAGAGACAAUCUGAAAAUUAAAUAAUUGCUGUUUAACUUUCUCUUUAGACACCCAAACACUUUAUUCUGCAGUAUAUGGCAAUGGAGUAAAACAUACCAAAAUAAAACUUUGUUGACAUAGAGCUUUGUUUUAAUUUAAAGGGCUCUCAGAAGUCCAGACUGCUCAGAAAUAAUCCCAUUUUUUCUUGGCUGACUGCAACAGCUGACAGACACUGAUACAGAAGAUGAGAUGCAUGUAUGUGUGAAAGAUGGUAAUGGUAAUGGUUUGCUCUCCACCAGCAGAAAUUAAAGCCCAGUCAGUAUUUUCAGAUUGCUUAUUAACCCUGUUAGAUUGGUUUGGGAGAAGAACCAUCCCACAUGGAAAAUGCUCCCAGCUGCUGUGAGCACAGUGCAGUAGAAGCAGGUACUGCCAUGUGUGCUACUGCAGACAGUGGUAAGCCCCCUCCCUUCCCCUAUGCUUAAAAACAAAACAAGACAAAACAAAACUCAGUUUCUUCGGUGUACACAAGAGAAUGUUUGGCAUUUGCUACUACUGAGCAGCAUUCUUGCCGUGUUUUGCUAUCUGUCAAAUGGCAUGCUCAUCCUCUGCCAAGAAAAAUACUUGUUUCCAAUACUAAUCACGCUCCCUGACUACCCUCUAGUGUAUAUUCUUCCUGGACUGCUAUCUGUCCAUGCAACAUUUGAAAGAUAUUAAAAUGAUUAUGAUGAAAUCUCUUGCUUACUGUGCUGGCAAGAGCUGGGAUAUGCUCCAGAGUCAAUGCCUGUAGUUCCCAGGGAGAAGGCAGUGCCUAAAGUUGCUUCUUACUGACUGCCUCCAUCCAUCCACAUGUAGGCAGGACAUUGUCGAGCUCUGUGUGGAGCCACAGACAGGCUCUGCUCUGGUGUAAUGUUGUUAAGGUAUGAGUUGCUGGAGAAAUGAUGAAUAAAGAGCAGUUGGUAGGUAGAUCCCAGAGCCACAAGUGAUUGUACUUAUAAAAGGAGAAGAUUGUUGUGAAAUGUGUAAUGAUACUUGAAAGGCAGUAGCUGGCAAGUCAGCAUGAAUGGUUUUCUAUUUUGCUCUUCAUUUGGUGAGAUGGAAUAAGGGUAUCCACACUGGCCCCAACUCCUCAGACUGGGGAUGAUACAACUACAAGGUGCAUCCCUACAUGGUCAGAUCAUUUUGGUAUCUCCUAAUGCUAACACCGAGACUUUCGGCCUUUGAAAUUCCUGGAAGUCUUAUGAGGAGUGACUGAGGGAACUGGGAUUGUUCAGUCUGGAGAAGGCUCAGGGGAGACCUUAUUGGUCUCUACAACUGCAUGAAAGGAGGUUGUAGUGAGGUGGGUGUCGGCCUCUUCUCCUAGGUAACAGCAGUUAGGAUGAGAGGUGAUGGCCUUAAGUUGUACCAAGGGAGGUUCAGAUUGAAUGUUAGGAAAAAAUUAUUCUCAGGAAGAGUAGUAACACAUAGGAACAGGCUGCCUAGGGAGGUGGUGGAGUCACUGUCCCUGGAAGAGUUCAGGCACUGAGGGGUAUGAUUUAGUGGGCAUGCUGGGGAUGAGUCGACAGUUGGAGCAGAUGAUCUUGGUCUCUUCCAACCUUAAUGAAUCUAUGAUUCUAGGAUAAUGAUUCUAUGAAGGAUUAGCCAGUUGUUCCUCCACCUAAGACAUAACUUUUUACUUCCCCCCCCCCCCAAAAAAAAAAAAAAGUUUUUUGAUCGACAUAUUCAUAUGUCCAUUUGGCAAUUAAAUGUUCUGUUUUUAUCCUCCACAAUGUAAGAGCUGCAUCUCUUUCAGGAAUCUAAAUCUGAUUUGUGUCCCACCUUACCAACAGACUAAUUAUGACUUUAGCAACAAGUGCCCUGAGACACCUCUGCAAACUAUUGAUGCUCAGAGUUGAUCAAGGAGAAGCUAGAAGCAUCUCCACAUAUUCCUGUUGUGCGUUGCAAGCCACAGCUCAACCACCACCAUUAUGGCAAACUUCAUUUGUUUUUGCAGACAUCAGGGUGGAAUUUGUGUCAUUUCUCUUUCAGCAUCUACAGAAUAGAUAUCUACAGCUGUGCUAAUCACUCUGGGCUCUCCUUAUAGGCAAGGAAGAGAAAUAAGUGUUUUUAGGGUGCAGUUUUCCUGACCUACUGUAUACAUUUACUUAAGGAGGACGAAUCACACUCAAGAUUCCUAUGCAUAGCCUGUCUAUGUCCUCACUGACUGUACUGAUAAUCUGGGAUGAUUAGCUUAACUGCGUACCAUACGCAUGUUUAUUUACCUCUGCUUAAUUACAUAAGUGAUAUCCACUGCCCAUUACAGAGCAGGCUUUGAAUGUAGAUGAUGUAGGCAAUUUCUGCAAGUAUUAUAGCAGACUGAAGCAAGCAGUGGUGCAUCCUCUUUCCAUGAAAUGGAAGAACUGUCUUUGUUGAGAGGAGGAUACUCUAAUUCCUUCUGUUUCUCCAUGGAACAGGACCUGACUCUUCUGGAAGAAGCAAAUAGGAGACAUUGACGUUGGCAGCAGUGUGAACUGUAGGUGGAGGAGUUAAUUGAGAGGUAGUUUAGGGACAUGGCAGGUUGCACUGGCUCCCAAAUGAUUAGAGAUGGUGGGGGAUCUGGUUGGGGAUUUGCUUAAGGAUCCCACCCAACUCUGCUCCAGAGGCAUUAAACAUCCCUGUGCUACCUAAUUCCAUUCCUUCUUUGUCUCAUGGAGUGUCCUGAAACCUCCUCAUAGCCCUCACAUUCACCUCCCCUCUCUCUCUCUCCAAAACCCAAUUUCCUCUCCCCAUCCUCCAAAGUGCCCUCAACUGGUCUCUUCUAGCCUCCUUUCUUGAAAGCUCUUCUCCAUCUCCUUCAAACUGUGAGGGGUCUUCAGAUCAAAGAGCAUUAGAGGGUGUAUGGUGGCAUGCAGUUUCCUAUGUUAGCUUGUGUUUUCAUAGAAUGGCUUGGGUUGGAAGGGAUCUCAAGGAUUAUCAAGCUCCAACCCCCCUGCCACAGGCAGGGCUGCCAACCUCCACAUUUAAUACUAGACCAGGCUGUCCAAGGCCCCAUCCAACCUGGCCUUGAACACCUCCAGGGUCAGGGCAUAGACAGCCCCUCUGGGCAGCCUGUUCCAGCACCUCACCACUCUCACAGUAAGGAACUUUCCUCUUAUAUCCAACCUAAAUCUUCCCUCCUUCAACUUAAAAUCAGUUCCCCUUGUCCUGCCAUUAUCUACCCUUUCUAAGAGCUGUUUUCUCUCUCCUGUGCUUGUGUUUUAUAUUUUUCAAAGUACAUUUUUCAAAAUUUGAAUGAUGCUCACUUAAGGGAACACUUAAUAAUUUUGUUUACAGUUAGAAAUCUUAAUUAAUAAGAAAUAGCCAUAAGAAUGGCCCAGGAACUUCAAGAGAACACAUAAAAUUUCCUCUGGAGCCCAGAAUGAUGCCCAGAGAAAGGUCUCCAGUGAUGUAUUACAACACUUUUUAAACUUAAAUUGCAUAAUGAAUAUUCAUAAUACUUAUUAUAGCAUAAUUAGUGAAGUAACAAGGGUUUGAAGAUAGGAGUCUGGCAAGAUCUGUACAAGAGAAAAUGCCCCAUCCCUGGAGGUGUCCGAGGCCAGGCUGCAUGGGGCCCUGAGCAGCCUGGUCUGGUGCCUGAUUUAGUGGGUGGCAACACUGUCCAUGGCAGGGAGUUGAAACUAGAUGGUCUUUGAGGUCCCUUCCAACCCAAGCCAUUCUAUGAUUCUAUGAAGAGAAAGAAAUUUAAUUUGUUUGCCUGACUGAGGUAUGAGGGAAAGCAGACAAGCUUUAGGCAUGAGGCCUUUAGGUAAAUAGUGAUAGAGAGAUUACAACCUCCGAAUUAUGCUUAUGGAUCAUAUAAACUCUACAUGGCUGGAAUCAGAGGACACAUUUCAUAUCAAGGGAAAUUUUUAAUAGAAACAACAAGUUGGUUUUGGUUCACCUUUAUGGUUUUAAAACUGUGAGAUGAAAUAUUUUUCCUACAUCUGCAAAAUAUUUUGAAUUUUGAAAAUGUUUCUAUCUGAAGUGCAAUAAAAAGCAGGAGCUGCAAUAAGUUGAUGAGUCAAUAAUGAAUAAACACAGUGUUUUGAAUUGAAAAUUUUGGCACAUUUCAGUGCAGUUACUAUUACUGAUAUAUUUUUCCUGUGGAUACACUGACAUUUAAAAACCAAUCUGUAACGAAGGGAAAAGAAAAAAUAACAUACAUAGCAUGUUGAAACAAAAGGCUCAGAAUCAGAAUUAUUUUGCAGAAAAAUCAGGUUUGAAAAUGUAUCUUUUUCUGGACAAAAGAGUGAAAUAAAACAGUUCAUUAACAGUGCUCAUACUCACUUGCAGACCCAGCAUAUGUGUGUACCACUGACACAACACACAGUUGCCUCCUAAAUACUGAAUUAAUUGUUAGGAUGAUAGUUAAUAGUCAUCCCCAGAUUUUCAAUUACGGGACGAUCCUCCUGUCAGUGCUGCUACUGCAAAUCUUUUCUUCCCCCUUGCAGUGCCCUUCCCUGUGCAACUGGGCAUUUUCAUUCCUCUAUUCAUUCCAGUGAACUACAGAGACCCUGAGCAUCUUUCUCUCUAUUAUUAUGCAGAUCUGCUUUUCUAGAUUCUCGGUAUUUUAUUUAUUGCACAAGCGUAACCCACUGGUAAUCAAUGACUACAAUUACAAGACCUUGAACACGAUGAUAGAAGAAAUAAUAUUUUAUGUUUGGCUUGAAAAUAAACACCCCUCCAUUAGCACAUUUUGCUCACCAUGACUACUGGUGAUGAAGGAAGUCGUCCACCUUGACAUCCCUUGAACCAGGCUACAGUACCACAAGGACUAUAUACACAUUAAAAGACAACUAAUUGAUUAGGGAUCUUUUAAAAAAUUUGGGCCAGAUCCUGAAUCCCACAUGCAUCACACAUUCAAAAAAUGAUUUUCCAAAAGACUCUGAGAAUUUCUGCAAGAUGCGUAGCACAUGUCUGACCUUUUCCUGUCCCCAUGAGGUUCCAGGUCCCUCCUCACUCUCAGCCCCAUAGGCACUGGCCAUCCGAGUCCUGAUCCUGCCAGAGUAGGACUGCAGAUGUGAUGAACACUAGCUGCUGUCUUUGCCUGGUAGACACGUCCAUCCAACACUGAAUCUUUCACAAAUUUUGCCUUCAGUAAAGAAGAGAGGAAGAAAAAUAGAAUAAGAAAUCAUGAAAACCAUUUUUAGAGGGAUUUUAAAUUUGUGCUGCGCUUUCUGAUUCAGAAUUUGAGCUGCACUCUGUGUUUCAGAUACAGUUGGACAUGUUAUUAAGACAAGCAAAGAUACAGUUGAAAAAUGCUGCUAAUAAUCUGGAUAAUUACUUUCAAAAUGAUCUACAUAAUUCCUGAAAUAGCUAAAAUAGAUACAUUCAACAUCCAUAACAAAGAAUAGUAUUCAAAGCAUUUAUAAACUAAAUACUGUUGCCACCACAGUCUCUUCAGACCUACCACCAAUUUGAUAUAUAUUUUCAGACAAGCCCAGGAAAAAUAUGAUUUGAAGGAUCCAUUAAAAGGGAAACUGCUGUUCAACUUUGGUUGUUGAUAGAGCCAUAAAAUAUAUAUUUAUAUGCAGUUUUAUAUAUACAAAAUGAAACUCACAUCCCACAGUAUCUUACUGGAGCUCAGAUGCAGCACAUGACAUAUUAUAUCUGUGGAAAUGGGAUCUAUAACCUAAUGUAUUCUUGCAUCAAAGAAUAAUGUCUCAUAAAUAAAUCAUUACAGCCUGUCACAUCUAUGGUUUCACACCGUAGUGUAUAAAAUAAUGUAUUUUGAGAUACGGGAGAAGGUGAUUAUCUAAUGUUUCAACAAAAAAAGAUUGUCCUGUGCUAAUGCAUGUGCUGUCUUAGAGGUGUUAUUGCCUUACCGCUGUUCAUUGAAGACUAAUCCAUCAUAUCAAAGGAGCGACAGCAUUUCACUUUUAAAAAACUGACACAAUUUGCACGCGGCUUUUCUCUUUCAGUAAUUAAGAAAUCAAAUAAGCCUGAGUGAAACUAUUUAAGAGGUUCUAGAUAUAAUUAGAACACCUCAUUCUCUCAUAACUAAUUCCUAAUUAAAGUAAUUUGUCUUUUUGCCCUUCUUUUCAAGGGUGAAGAGCAAGUGGUGAUGAAUGCUCAAAAUCAGGAAAAGUGAAAAUUGCAGUGUGUUGAUUUGCAGUGAUUGAGCGCGUUCCAGUUUUUAACAACCACCUUCGGCUGCAAUGCUAAAUGAAUCUCCAGCCUCUAUUUACAUUGAGAAUGUGUGAUCCAGAGCCUGACAAUUGAUAGAAUCUGGCGACAAAAGGGCUGAAGUCUGAGUCUGAGUUCAAAAGUUGCCUAUAUUAAGCUUUGCACAGGGGGAAAAAAUACAGUGAGACGGCACAGGAGAGAGAAGAAGUCUGAAAUUUGCUCCACUGGGUGAAAAUUGUCCUUUUAAAAUUUUAUUUGCAGCUGUGCCCAGAUGAUGACGGAUUUAUCAUAUGAACCAGGGAUUAGUAAACAAUGUGUACCCUAUAAAGAGCAAAACAAGUCCUUGCUCAUCACUGCACUUAAUUGCAGUGGUUAUAUCAAAGCCAUAUAAAAUUUAAUCAUCAACCACAAGUAAGAUUUUGCCUUGCAUGUGUGCUUGCUUCCCUGUUUUUCCACCUGUUUAAAUGAAAGAUUCUUGGAAUAUCACAAUAUGUAAAUAUUGUUUAUGAUGCAAAAAUAUGCUCUUUCAUCUCCUGGCUGCUUUGAUGUCGUGAUAUACAAAGCUUUUAGUGCCACCACCUACCUGACACACAAAGGUCUUAUCUGAUUCAUAAACAUGUGUGCCCAGUGCAAACAGGCUGUAUCCAAUAGAUGAUUUUUCUUUUCCUUGCAAUGUUUUUUUAACAGACAGAAAGAGAAAGAAAGUGUAAAUGACAGAACUGCUCAGGUGAAAAGAUUAUUUUAAGCAUCAGGUAAAGAUAAGCCCAUUAUGACAGAAGAAAAAGAUGUAGGUCAGUAUCGAUCCUAAGAGGUUAGUUAUAUAUAUAGUCAUCUCGUAAAAUGUGUUUUAAAAGCUGAAACUUUUUUUAAAGACUUUUGAUCCAAGUGGGAAAUAAGCAGCAAGAUCAGGUGCCCUCCUAAGACAUACAAAUAUGCCUAAUUAGCAGGAGAAGAAAGAGAAAAGCAGGAAGUGAGGUCAACACUGGAAACAGGGCAAACGGAGUCAGGGAGGGAAUAAGGUGUAGGUAAUAGUUAAAAUUUGCGGCUCAUUGGUAACAAUUUUAAACCUAAAGGAGCAGCUUAUUACAGGUUAAUCCAUGAUAUGUCUAAUUUACAGCUAUGUGUAUGUGAAUUUCUCAUAAAACAACGGGAUGGAGCUUCGGUCUGAUGGAGCCUGAAUUCUGCAAGGGGCAGCUGCUGUCUCCAGCUGAAAACACAAUACUGUUUGAGAGAAGUGUUACAACUGCUAGCAAAGGUCCUCUGGGCUUUUUAGGGCAAAUUAGGUCCCCAUACCCUCAGGGAUCCCACAGCUGUUCCCCCUGAGCACACAGAGCACCAAGAUGUGUGCUGAUGGCUGCAACAGCAGCAUAGCAGGGCUUGAUCUCAGCCACCUGAGAACAGAAUUUGGCCAUUUAAUAUCACACAAUAUCACAUAAACUGCAAGAACUUCAAGGUGUAAUGCUUCUUCUCUUUCUUCUUUCUCUCUUCUUUUUUUUUUUUCCCUUUCCAUUCCUUUUUUUUUUUUUUUUUUUCUCUGUAUCCAGGAGCACCCUGGGAAAUCCUUUCGUGUUCUUUAUUUCCAUCUAAGCCCUGGCUUGCUUUGAACAGCAGAGGUAAUUGUGCGGGUGAACUUCAGAGAUUUGAAGGGAUCAAACUUGAAAGCCCCUGCCUGAAAGUGCAAGCUCCAACUGGAAUGUUGUCAGGUGCUGUGAGACGGGACGUGGCGGUGCUGCCGUCGGAGGAAUCCUUGCACAGGGACAGUCUGAACCUGCGCAGCGCUCCCUUUGCACAGCCCCUGCAGUUAGCAAGGCUCCCAUAACCCACAGCAGUGCUCAAAUGAGGCAGUACUGCCCUCUCUGAUCUAUAAAUGGGUGUGUGUGAUGAUGUGACUUGAUGAAGGUCAUCUAUGUCAGACAGUGGCAGAGGGUGAAGAAACCAUCCUGAUGUCUAUUUUCAGGUUUUCCCUGAGCACAUCAGAGCAGAGAAGCCAAAGGGAUGCAGGUCUACAUCGUUUAUGAGAGCUACAUGUUCCUCUGGCUAGAAAAUCCUGGGGGAUUCAAUAAUAAUAAUAAAAAAAGAAGAAUCAGGGAAGAACUGAGAAGAAUAUAAUAGAAGUUUGCAGAUGGGGAAUUUCAGAAACCAGCAAAAUUCACGGAAGGAGAUUGUUACAAAGCACAGCCUUUGCAAUGGAUUUAUACAUUCUUUUAAAUUUUACACGACAGCCAAAACACUCCAGAUACGCUUCCUCCCUCUGCCAGUUUUCCUCGAUCUUCUCUUUGAGCAUAGGUGAAGUUCCUCAUGUUCCAAGACAGGGCAGGGUAUGUUCUGCUGCCAUUUCCCACACCCUUCUCAUGCCGUAUCUGACUAUCAGCACUGCUGCAAUCCAGGAAAACAGGAAACAUCAGAGCCAGUUGGAUUUUUCAACUCCUGAAUGUGUUUUGUUCAGAGUUCCUUUGGAAAAUAAUCAGGAAAACAAAAUAUGUUUUUACAAUUGUUUUUCCCCACUGGGUUUCAGACAACAGCAGCUAUAACAUGAAGUGAAAAAUAUAUUUAUUUCUUCUUCAAUCAAAAAUAUUUGGCUUGACCAAGAAAAUCUAUCUCAGUAAUCACAUGCUGUGUCAAUGCCAUCCAUCUUCUUCUACAAUAGCUAUUGUCAUCGAUAGUGAAAGUUUGUUUCCUGUAGUAAGAAGCAUGGGAGAUGUCCUUUCUUGUUCCGUAUUUUGUUCUGCUUUGCCCUGUCAUAAGGCUAUUAACUACACAGUUACGUUUCAUUUUAAGAUUCUCAGUUAACACUCCCUGUCUUUACACUGCAAACUGUUUCAUCUUCUGAAUUGCGAUCUGCCAGUGGCUGAUGCUGGCAACACAGCACAACGUACAGACUUCUGAUCUCUUUUGGCCUGCAAGCUUUUCUUUCCUAACUGAUGGAUGAAAACCAAUUCCCUGUGCAAUUUGCUGAACUUUACUGUGGUUCUCAGUGCUAUUUCAAUUUAUGCCUAAUAGGUGGAGAAUCACAGAAUGUCCCCGAAGAUCACUGAGCCCAUCUCCUGGCUCCACUUGGGGCUCCCUAAGAAUUAAACCAAAGACAUGUGAAUGCAAACUGAUUCAGAUGAAAUCCAUGACAGUCCUUCCACUUCCGGCCCUCUCAUAUGGGCAGACCCUUGCUUCAUUCUCACUUACUAUUGAAUAAAUAGUAUACGACUUUUGUGGAAUCAGCUAAGGAUUAGUGUUCCACACUCACACUUGUUGCCAUCCAUCUCUUUUCCAAAUUAUCCAUUUCAGCCACUGUGUGUGUUGAAGAGGUGUAAAACAUUGGUCUGAUAUGUGUGUGCUAUUACAGGAAGAAAUACAAGAGCAAACUCUCCUCUAACCCAUUUGAAUGCUUGUGAGACUGUUGGAGUUGUUGAGGUUCAAGGAAUGCCAUCUCCCAGGCUCCUCAUUGUCAUCUUCUUGGUAUCUGAACAUCUGGGGACAGCUGAGUCUGUGCAAGUUCAGUAGGAAAAGGAAAAUUAGUCAAAAGUACAUUUCUGCUCUGUAAGUGGUGUAUUUAAUUUCCAGCUAUGGAACAAAACACAAUUACCCAUGGUCCAUUUUUUCUGGGGUCAAGGCUGGCUAGAUUGUUGUAAUAAUCGUAAUAACACUCCCUCACUUGCUAUUUACCUUGGGAGCUAUUUGCUGUCCUUUGUCUGCAUCUGACUGUUGUGUAGGGACUGUGCCACAUCUUUGUGGUACAGCGUGUGUUUGGUUGCAGGGAUCUUUUGUGUCAGAAAAGGUAAACUUUGCACUCACAUAAAUUCUGUACUAGCCAGGACACAGUGAGACCUAUUCAGACUACUCACUUUCGUGAUAUAUGUAGCCACAUAAUCAUGGAAUAAAGACUCUGCAAAGUAUAUAGUGUUUUAAAGAUAACUUGUACUACAGCAGCGCAUAGAGGAAGGGGUGCUUUGUAUGAAUUACACAGAAAAAGUAUACUUCGCCAUGACCUGGGGAUUAGUUGCAGAUUCAACUCCAGUUUGGUUUGGCCAGAUGUGCAAAAGCUAGGAGGAAGGUGUAGAAAGCACCAGUGUAACCAUGUGAAACCAGGCUUUGAAAAAUAAAGAACUGGCUCAAGAUCACAGGACAUGAUCUAUGGAAGAGAAAGAAGUUAUGCAUGUAUCUCCCGAAUUGCUCUGUAGUGUAGUAACUAGUAUUCCCUUUACUCCCUUGAUACUAUAUGGGAUGUAAAAUAAUGCUCAGUUGCUGACCUCACAUACAGCAAACUGACCCAUUGUUUUCUAGGGAAAUUCAGCCAUGCAGAAAGGAAAUGCUCAGACAUCUAAAUAGCAAAACCAAAGCACUUAUGACCUUUUCUCCUGCCAAGAUCAAAGCAGCAACUUAUUUUCUCCUUUUUUCAAAUUUUAGUGACAUUAGCUAAUGUCACUGCUAAUGUCAACGUGCCAAGGUAUCUUGGUGCCAACUGAACAGCCAGGACUGGUAUUGCAAAGAUACUAAUGAUGUGCUGCUGCUGUCUCAAAGGGAUCCAUGCUGCCAGGCGCUUGUGAAGGACAAGGAAUAAUUUGUACUUUGCAUUGAGCCUUUCACUUGCUUGCAAAAGGUUGCCUGAGUGGAAUGGAACACACAUCAUAAGCUCAACACUUCUUUCAAAUUCCAAACAUACUUUCCUAACUCCACUUAUUACUAAAAUCAUGAUUUUAUCAUUCAAGAGCCCUAGCAAAUCAGCAGAGAAGAAUGUAAGAAAAUUCUACUACUGAGAUCCUAGCCUUGUUGUUCACAGGAAGUUAAAGCGAAACUCUUACAAGCAGAGCAGAGAUGCUUAACAGUCCUUGUGUGCUCACAAAGAAAAUAGAUUUUGUUUAUCAUUUAGAUCAAAAGAACAGGCAGAUUUUUAUUGAUUUUUGAGAUACAGCACUGAUCUUUGCCUCUGCGUCUAAUGGCUGUGAGCACUGGGUGCUACAGUAAUAGUGAGGAAAUAUAGCAAUUUUACACUGUUAAAUCUUUAUCUUGACUGUCUCUAAUUUAUCCAUCUUUAAUAAACCCCACUGCUCUGCAGCUGGUAACUAAAUCAGAGGCACAAGCACAACAUGAAGAGGACAAACUGAAGCCUUCUCCACAAGAUAUGAGGAAAGGACAUGACCUGCAAAUACACUGCCGAAAAGGCUGUGUAUAUCUUAAAUCUCAAUAAAUUCCUUAUUGUGGUGAUUUGGGAUAGCGUGGUGGCACAGCACUGAGUUUCAGUAAAGAAGGAGCUAUUCAGAUUAGCUGCUCUCCAGGGCUGUGGGCCCAGCUCCCUCAGGAUCCAAUGAAAAAAAGGAACUUGUGCAUACAGUAUGAAUAGAGUUUCUGCAAGUGAAUCAAAAUCUAGUCAUAGUGAAUAGAAUCAUAGAAUCACUAAGGUUGGAAAAGACCACUAAAAUCUUCUAGUCCAACCAUCAACUCAUCCCCACCAUGCCCACUGAUCAUGUCCCUCAGUGUCACAUCUCCACAGUUCUGGAACACCUCCAGGGACAGUGACUGCACCACCUUCCUGAGCAGCCUGUGCCACUGCAGCACCACUCCUGAGAAGAAAAUUUUCCUAAUAUCCAAUCUGAACAUUUCCUGGCACUACUUACAGCCAUUACCUCUUGACCUAUUGCUGUUACCUGGGAGAAUAGACCAACCUCCACCUUUUGUCUUGGUGGCAGUAUUUGAAUAGCUGGUCUUGCCAUUUGCUUCUUGACUUCUUUGGUUGAAAUGCCAGAAGAGGCUUGUAAUCCCACUUUGUGCAGUCUAAAAUCUGACCAUAACUCUUUAUCUUCUGAAGCUACUGCAGCUACUGAAAAAGGGUAGUAACUUACCAUCUGACAAUGGGAAAGGAAAAAUGCUGUUCUAGACUCUCUGCUUUCAAAAUGUUCUUCCUUACCUGAAAAGUUUACCUAGUUUAUUCAAUAUUCAUGCUUUUCAGACAUGAUGCCCUUGCUUCCUAUGUUCAAAUUGUAAGGAAGUGUUAUUGCCCAAUGCCAGAAACAUGCAACUAUUCUUUAAUACACCAGAUGCACUGACAUAUUUGCACUCAUACUCAGACUCUUACAUAAAUUUCAUUUUCCACUGAAACAAAAGAUUGUACCUUUGCAGGUCAUGAGGUCACCAAAAAGCCAACCACUAUUUUGUUAAAUUAAAGAUCUGAAUUUGUUCUGCAACAGAAAGGUUUGAGGGAUUUCAUAGACAUGAAUCAACUUGGAUUUUUGAAAAUUGGGGUAUUUUUACUUCUCAUUUUACUGGCAUAACAGUGAAAGAUGUACUUCCAGAAGACAUAUUUGUAUAUCUAACUUCUCACUUUUCAUCACUGUCUAUAUGAUAACUGUGACUGCAGUUUUUUUGCACUGGUAAAAGAGAAUAUCAGUUGUGCAUCAGCUGUGCUCGUCAUAAGAGACUCUUAAGUCUUAGCCAAUGUGAAUACAGAGGAGUCUAUACUUUUGCACAGACAAAAGCUUCUGACCUUCUUUACUGGCAGAGUGAAAAUGAGUGUUAGCCUCCUUGCUCAGGCAGCAUUUCAUCCUAUGAGAUCAUUUUAGUUCCUUUUAAUAACUUGUAUUUGUUUUGUGAGGUAUUUAGGAAGCGUUGGCAGGUAGGGUGCAUGAGUGAAACUCUUUCUUAUGUUAGAGCUAUUUGGAAUAGAAGACAAUUGAGAUUAGCUGAUGACUGAGUAUUCUUAGGGAAUGAACUUCUCUCUUUGAAACUCUGAGCUCAUGUGUUACUACAUUUAACUCGCAGCUCUGUCAGCUUUACAACAGCACAGGGGCAUGCAGGGUGCACGAUGGCAGCAGCGAUGGGGGAUUCACUGGGUAACGCUGCAGGUGCACGUGUUGCUCAUGGCAGCAGCUCCAGCCAGAAAUGCUGCUUUUAUCGAGGUCAUAAAUCAUGUCAGCCCUCCUGAAUACAGUUUUUCAAAAGGGUGAAGCCAUGGCUUGUGUGCUGGAUAUUUAUCUUGCUCUUCCUAAUGCUUUCCCAAAAGCUCUCCUUGAAGGCGGUAAACAGUUCUUUUGGCCAUAAUUAGAACUAAUUGAUUGCUAGAGGGGUUUUAGACCUGUGUCAAACCAAAGGGACAGAGAUGGGAAGAGGAGGCUGAUUCCCAGGCUGUUUCCUUGGCCGUGUACGUGGGCACACAUCAUGGAAGGGAUGAGUUCUAUUGACCCAAGGCAGUGGUGCUCAGGUGUCUGGUGAGUGUGGUGGGAGCCUCUCUGUACUCUGCUGUGGCUGCAGAGACGAUGUGAGCUUUGAACACUCACUCCACGCUCUGCAAAGUGGCAAUGUGGCCCCUGCCAUCCCCGAGGCUGGGCUGAAAGCUCUGAAGUUUGCAGAGAAACAUGCUGCGUCAGGCACAACCAGGCUGGCCCCACAUAAAGUCAAUACUUGUGUGAAAACAAAUAAAAUCUUAGAGUACGAGGCAGAGGCUAAAGAAUGCCUUCACCUCUUUCCUUCAAGCAACUAUUUUGUUAACUUGAAAGACGGCAGGGGUGAUCUUACUCCAUUCUUUCUCUACAGGUCAAAUACUUGUCAUAGGAGACACCCUAGUUAAUAUUAAACUAAAAAUUAAUAGAUUAGAUAACUAUUAUAUGCUUUUAGUGCCAAUUAAUUUAAUAGCUGGUUUUUUUUGUUUUGUUUUGUUUUCUCUUUUUCUAGCAAGGUAGGUGAAUAUAGCAGCACAGUUUACUGUGUCUGUAUGAGCUCUCAGAUGGGUCUUUUGUGCUACAAUUACCACCAAUUGAUUGGACUGACACAUGUAAUCCCCUUUGGAUCACCCAACGAUAUGAUGUCAGUAAGAAGUCCUUCAAACAGACUAUUAAAAAGCACAUUAAACAUGUCCUUAUUGUAAGCUUUAUGCUAGCUUAUGCUAAAAUAACAGUGAUACAGUGGUAUUUGUUUGAAAAUGAAAGGAUUAUAUGGUCUUUGUAAAAUGAGGAAUUUAGUAUUGGGAGGGGCAGUGGGAUGGUGAUUUAUUUUUUGUUUAUGUUCUUCCGAAUCCUUUGAUAUGUCAACUUCUGUCACUAACCAUUAGGCCACUUGUAAUUUCUUGUAUCAACGAAGAUGAAAUACAUACUGCCUCCAAUAAUUUAUGUCAAAUAUUGAAGGGCAUGGAUGGUAGUGCUUAUUGUGAGAUUAUAAUGAGAAUUGAACUGGGGGCUUCAGAAAUCCAUAGGUAAUUUAUUGUUAAAGAGCACGCAUGAAUCACUCCGGCCUUUAAUUGUCAUGUGGAUGCAUUUUGCUUUCAGCUUGCGCUGGAAACAAAUUGCUGAAAUGGAAUGAUAACUCAGAAGAAAGAUUUCACCAUGACCCUUUGUACUUAUUAAUAUAGUGCCAAGAGUGUAAUGAGUGCCAUGCCUUCUCUUGGGUCAGAUUCUGGUGCGUAGUGAAAGGAAUGCCUUGAAAUUUGUAUUGCUUUUCAUGAAGAAGAAAAACAUAAACAGUAGCAUAUACACCUCGCAAGCAAGGGCUGAGAGUCAAAAAGAUUUGUGGUAUUUAUAAUACUGCACAAUAAAGGUGACCAGGGGAUUUUAUAGGAUGAUUUAACACUGAACUGUGCAAAGAAAUUAAGCCGUUCUGGAGAUUUCUUUGUAACGCACCAACAUCCUCAUCAUCCCUCUUUGCUCUGCUCUCUUUUUAUCUUACAACGUCAAGGUAACACUCCAAAGUGGUUAACCAACUGCUGUGCAUAUCUUACAUAGAUGUGCUGCUUUAGAUCAUGCUGCUGCUCCCAGAGAGAGAAAUUUCAUUGUUAACCCGAAUCUAGGUGUUUUUGUCAAAAAAAUCAAAGCUACCAGAAAAUGGAUAUAAAUUAUUCGCAGGGUCUGGUUUUCUGUCUGCUUUAAUAUCAUGUAAUCAAAGGACAGAUUACUCAAAAUUACUCCUCUUGAGUGCUUCAGUGUAGUCAUCACAGCACUUCUCUGCGACUACUUCACAGUUUCUCAUAAUGUAAGAAUUAGGGGCUACGCAGUGAAACUAGGAAACAGCAAGCUUAAAAUAUACAAAAAAAAAAAAAAAGAAAGAAAGAAAAAAAAGGGGAUUUGAAAGCAUUUGAAAGCAGGAUGUGUGAUCAAAAUGAGGUACAACUUGACACAGAAAUUUAUGGAAGCCAAAAGUAUAAAGUGUAGAAGAAUUUAACAAAGUCACGAAGGAUAGAUUCUCUGGUGACUUUUAAGCUAAAUGGUCUUGAUGUGGUCACUGUUUUUAGGAGUCCAUUACCCAGAAUGAAGAAUGAAUUACAUUUGGGAAGGAGAACUCUGAAUUUGAUCUAUCCAUUUGCUCUUCCCCUGCUGACCACUACCAGAGACAGGACUCUGGGGUAAACUGCCUUUAUGCUUUGUGGCUGCUCUUACAUCCAUAGAAAACUCUUGUAGCCAUUAUGAAUAAUGAAGUGUGUCUUUCACAGAAUCACAGAAUCGUACAGGUUGGAAGGGAGCUCUGGAGAUCAUCUAGUCCACCCUGACAACUCACCCACACCAUGCCCCCUAACCAUGCCCCUCAGUGCCACAUCUCCACAGUUCUUGAACACCUCCAGGGACAGUGACUCCACGACCUCCUUGGGCAGCCUGUGUAACUGCAGCACCGCUCUUUCUCAGAAGAAGUUUUUCCUAAUAUCCAACCUGAACCUCCACUGGCGCAACUUUACCUCUCAUGCUAUCACUAUGCUGUUACUCAGGAUAGUAAAGAGGCAGUACACGGAAGAUCUUUGAUGUUUCAUUCAAAUUAUUUAUGGAGGAGGAACUAUUUUCUAACAGAUUUUUUUUUUUUUACAUUAGUAUGCUGUAAAUUGCUUUGUCUAUGAAGAUAUCAGAGCACUUACCAAUCCAGAGUAGCUUUUCAUAGAAUACGUUCGCUACAAAUAGCUAUAGCACAGCCUAAACUGGACUGUUAGUUAAUCCCAGAUAAAACCCAUCUCAGGUUCUCCUACAAAUAGCACAUGUUCAAGACCAAGCCCUGACACAUCAGUGAGUAAACCUCAAUAAGCUGCUUCAGGAUAGUGGCACUACAACAGCUUCAUAACACUUGCAAGUGCCAGUAAAGGAUGCCGAAGUGUUGGUUUGCCAGGACUGGAACAGAGCAGCGACCACAGGUGCUUAUUUUCCCUUUUUGUAGUUCAUCGGUGUCAUGCAACUGUUGGCUCAGUCAGCAGAUGUGUCAGCUCUUGGAAUAACAGCUACUUAUGUAGGUUAGGUACAGUGCCAAAAGGUAAGUGUUAUAAAGAGUAAAACUGUAAAGAAUUAUGAACAUAAAGCCUGUGAUAGUAAAGGUGACUCCUUAGCAUUAUGCGCCACAGCAACAUAUUUUACCAAGGGCAGGAAAAGUCAGCUUUAUUUUCACCCCGUCACAAGCCGUAAGUGCUGAGCUAUGUGCAAUUUCCUGUUGGAUUUAAAUAGACACAUUUCUGAGCCCUAAUUUUUACUCUUUUCAUCUCUAGUAAACAAAUUGCCAAUUAAUAAUUAUGAAUUGAUCUCACAUGGCACAAACCUGUGCAAAAUAAUGCAGUAUCCCACUACCAUGCUUUUGGUAGCACUGUGAGCACAUCUGUAUAGAAGUUAUAGUUCAGAAAGGAGGAAAGCCCAGCACAGGACCCAGAACAUGGUCAAGGACCAAGAGCACCUGACUCACAGGGAGAGGCUAAAGAAACGGUUUGUUUGGUCUGGCAAAGAGGAUAAGGGGUAAUGUAAUAGCACCUACUUGACAGGGAGUUACAAAAAAAUGACAUAGCCAAACCUUUCUCAAUGGUCCUAGACAAUGUAACAAGGGGCGAUGGCCACAGAGUGCAGCUUGGCAUGCUCAGGUUGGACAUUGGGAAAAAAUGCACUUGAAGAGUGUUGCAGCACUGGAACAGGUGCCCAAGAGGUUGUGGAAACUGUCCUUGGAGAACUUUAAGACUCAGUUAGAAGUUAAGCACAUCUGCAGCUGGCAAAUGUCCCAUGUCAUGUGGGAGUUGCAUGAGAGGCCUCCAGAUCUUCCUCCCAACCACCAUUUCUAUCUACUCUUUCAACUCUCUGCUUUAAUAAUUUAUACCUUAAAAGAGUGAUUUGCACCUCUGCUUUUUGCACAGUCUUAAGUUGGCCUCUCAACCCUGGAGAUUUAGGGUAAGAAGUCAGUACUAUUUCUUCCUUUCAUUGUGCCUUGGAUGAAUCAAUGAAGUGGUCAUACUCAGAGGAUGUCUGCCAGGAGUUAGCAGUGUUGUGAGAAUGUGCUUGUGCUUGUGUAUAAAUCCAGCUGUCAUGCCACUAUCACUAACAGAAUGCUUCUGAUGUGCUCAGGAGCAGAACUUUAGGUGUCUGCUGCUGUCAGUCACUGGCGUGGUUAGACAGCAGUACAGUGUUGAUGGAGUUCAGAUUUUGGAUUUGGACAACUGAUGAGCUUGCUCAGCUCUGUGCUUUAGCGAGUAAUUUGGUUUAAAUUCUUAGGAAUUAAUGUUUAUGAAACCAGAUGUAACUGAGUCCCAGUGCCUUUGCUAUAUAAAUG
ensembl:lncRNA